rnacentral:rRNA from 1 species
UACGGAGGGGGCUAGCGUUGUUCGGAAUUACUGGGCGUAAAGCGCGCGUAGGCGGGCUGUUAAGUCGGGGGUGAAAUCCCGGGGCUCAACCCCGGAGCUGCCUUCGAUACUUGCAGUCUAGAGGAAGGCUGAGGCUAGUGGAAUGGCGAGUGUAGAGGUGAAAUUCGUAGAUAUUCGCCGGAACACCAGUGGCGAAGGCGACUGGAUGGGCCUUUUCUGACGCUGAGGUGCGAAAGCGUGGGGAGCAAACAGG